AGAAUCCAUAUUUUUCCUCCCAAGUCCCAAAUUCAUGGCUGCCAUUCAUUUUCAGUUUGGGUCUUUUGAUUUUGAAUGCCGUAAAGAUACUGCGGGCAACGCAUCCAAUGGCGGCUAUCUGCUCUUUUCAAUCGUUAACUAUAACUCCCCUCCAGACCUCGAGAAUAAACCCCUUGCGGCCGAAUUCGCCUCUCAAAAUCUGCAGAAUCCGGUGCCGUGGGGAAAAUCCCAAUCCCGCCACCGAUUCGGCGAAGAAUCGGGAAUCGGAGCCCGAGAACGCGCUGCUUAAGGUCGCUUGGUAUGGCUCGGAGCUUCUGGGGAUCGCCGCUUCGUUUCUCCGGUCGCCGUCGGAUGCCGAAGCUCCCGUUAGGGCUCCGGACCUCGCCACGGACGUUUCCGGUGCGAUUCGUCGCGGUUUGAUUGUGGAAACGAUCAAGGAGGACUUUGGGCGAUCAUACUUCGUCACAGGGAACCUUACUCUUGAUGCUUAUGAAGAGGAGUGUGAGUUUGCUGAUCCGGCUGGUUCUUUCAAAGGGCUUCGCCGAUUUCAAAGAAACUGUACAAACUUUGGAUCUCUUGUGGAGAAUUCUAACAUGAAGCUUACCAAAUGGGAGGACUUUGAGGACAAGGGCAUUGGACAUUGGAAGUUCAGUUGUGUCUUGUCAUUUCCUUGGAGACCUAUUCUUUCUGGUAUGUUUGAUCCUAAGAGCAAGAAACUUAGUCAUUUCAUUAACGGCCAAUUUGAUAGCGUUGUUUUUUAUUCUGUGUUUCUAAAAGUAUGCCUAUUUGUGGGUAUUUCUCUUUUAUCUUUUCUUCUACUUCCAUGAUCGUUUUUAAGAUCAUGUCCAAAAUUUUAAAAGCUGAAAGAAGGAAUAGUUUUUAGUUUUUGAAAUUUAGCAAUGAUCUGAAAGUUGCUUUGUAAAAGUGAUAAAACUAUAUAUAUAAAGAAAAACAGUUUCCAGAUAAGGCAAAUGACAAACAGAUCUACAUCAGUUCCAACUGAACCUUUUCUUUUCAACAAAUAGUUAUCAAACAAAGGAUUUAUAAUGCAGAUGAGGACUUUCUUAGGGGUGUUCACAGGUUAGGUUGAGUUUUAUAAUAUUUUGGACCAAACCAAAUCGUUUUGGUUAUAUUUCUAUAAUCUAAACAACCCUUGUUAAAUUGUGAACCCCAAUCCAACUAACUCAUAAAAAGUUGGGUUGAGUUGGUUCGGUUCCAUCAGGUUUCAAUCAAACUCACACCUUAUAAGUGUUAGAUAGAGUGGUAUAACUUUCAAAUAUGUCUUUUAAGGUUAAAAAAAAAACCGACUACCUAAACAUUCUAAACAACAAACCUAAUCUAAUUUAAUUGAAGUUUAAGUGAAUUUUAAAUUAAUGAUAAACUUAAAAAAGUGAUGAUUAUAUCAUCACGGGUUGGGUUUGGUUGGUUGAACUUGUGGUGGACCCAAGAAUCAAAUCAACCCAACCGGUUUAGAACUGUAGAGAAAAAUGAACUCGAUCUAACUUAAAUUAUUUUUCAACCCAACCCAAACUGUAUAGAUCAAGUUGGGUUGCUUGGAUCUUGGAUCUUGAUCGGAUUGUCAAUUUUUUUUAACACCCCAUUUAGUAUAAUAUCAACUCAAAUACCUUCAUGUCAUUAAUGUGGCAAUGUUGCAGCAACUGGAUACACAGAGUAUUAUUUUGAUGCAGGAUCUGGAAAAGCAUGUAGAGCACUGGAACGUUCCCAAAAUGGCUUUACUGAAGCAAAUUCUAAGG